GCGAUCACACCAGCACUAAUGCACCGGAUCCCAUCAGAACUCCGAAGAUAAGCUUGCUUGGGCGAGGGCAGUACUAGGAUGGGUGACCCCCUGGGAAGUCCUCGUGUUACACCU
rnacentral:rRNA from 1 species